GAUGAACGCUAGCGGGAGGCCUAACACAUGCAAGCCGAGCGGUAUUGUUUCUUCGGAAAUGAGAGAGCGGCGUACGGGUGCGUAACACGUGUGCAACCUGCCUUUAUCUGGGGGAUAGCCUUUCGAAAGGAAGAUUAAUACUCCAUAACAGAUUUAACGGCAUCGUUUAAUAUUGAAAGCUCCGGCGGAUAGAGAUGGGCACGCGCAAGAUUAGUUAGUUGGUGAGGUAGCGGCUCACCAAGGCGAUGAUCUUUAGGGGGCCUGAGAGGGUGAUCCCCCACACUGGUACUGAGACACGGACCAGACUCCUACGGGAGGCAGCAGUGAGGAAUAUUGGUCAAUGGGUGCAAGCCUGAACCAGCCAUCCCGCGUGAAGGACGACUGCCCUAUGGGUUGUAAACUUCUUUUGUAUAGGGAUAAACCUACCCUCGAGAGGGUAGCUGAAGGUACUGUACGAAUAAGCACCGGCUAACUCCGUGCCAGCCGCCGCCGUAAAAC
rnacentral:rRNA from 1 species